rnacentral:rRNA from 1 species
AUGGAGAUGAAGAUGGCCGUCGGCGCGGCCAACUGGCUCGUCGGCAAGGUGCUGACCAAGCUGUCCGACGAGCUGGUGUCCGCCUACAUGGACAGCUCCGAGCUCGGCAGCAACUUCCUGAACGCCAAGCACCAGCUGCAGUACACCCAGGGGCUGCUGUCCGCGUCCGUGGGCAGGGACGUGAGCGACGACCCCGGCCUGCACGGACUGCUGGGGGAACUGAGCAACAAGGCCGACGAGGCCGAGGACGUGCUCGAUGAGCUCCACUACUUCAUGAUCCAGGACGAGAUCGAUGGCACCAAGGAGGCUGCUGUGGAGGUGGGCGGCGGCAUCAAGGGUCACUCCAUCCAUGGACGCCAUGUUGCUCGCUACACCCUCGGCAACUGCCUUCCAUGCUUUUCAUCUCCGCGCACUCUAGGUGAUGAUCAUCCUCCUGCCGUUGCUGCUGCGGAGGUGGGCAGCAGCAGCCAUGUUUCUCGCUACACCCUCGGUAGCUGCAUUCCAUGCUUCUCAUCUCCGCGCACUCAAGGUGAUGAUCCUCCUCCUGCGGCUUCUGCUGCGGAGGUGGGCGGCCGCAGUCAUGUUUCUCACUACACCCUCGGUAGCUGCCUCCCGUGCUUCUCAUCUCCGCGCACUCAAGGUGACGAUCCUCCUGCAGUUUCUGAUGCUGCUGCCACCAGUAAGCCACAUAGUGAAGACAUGUCCAGUACCAACAGUGAUAUGAUGAUGAUGAUGAUGAUGAUGAGUACUGAUGAUGAUGAUGAUGAUGAUGAUGUUGAUGACGAUGUUGAUAUUAAGUUGCCAUUUAACAGAGUAGCCAUGUCCAAGAAAAUCAAGUCUGUCAUAGAGGAGAUGAACUCCAUCUGCCAGCUUGUCUCUGACCUGCUCAAAACUGCAAGCACAAAUGUCACGAUUGAAAGGCCUCCAACUGGUUCAGUAGUUCCACGAGAUAGAAAACUGUAUGGAAGGAGUGACAUUUUUGAGCAAACUGUAAAUUCACUCACCAAUGGCACAUUUCGUGAUAAAACCCACACUGUCCUGCCUUUCAUUGGCCCCGGGGGCAUCGGAAAGACAACCUUCACACAGCACCUGUACAAUGAUGAAAGAAUCAAGGGUCACUUCCCCGUCAGGGUCUGGGUGUGUGUCUCAACUAAUUUCGAUGUGAUUAGGCUCACCAGGGAGAUACUUGGCUGCAUACCUGCAACAGCUAACACAAGCACAACUGAACCAACAAACUUAGACCAACUUCAGAAAGCCAUUGCAGAGAGACUGGACUCCAGAAGGUUCUUAAUUGUGUUGGAUGAUAUGUGGACUUGCAAGAGUGCGCGUGAUUGGGAAAACCUAUUAGCCCCAUUCACAAUUGGGGAAACCAAGGGCAACAUGGUUCUUGUCACAACUCGAUUGCCAUCUGUAGCACACAUGGUCAAAACAACUGAUCCGGUACAAGUGCAUGGUUUAGAGCCUGAUGACUUCUUUGCACUGUUUGAAGCAUGUAUAUUUGGUCACAACAAACCCAGGCUUUAUGAUGAUGACUUAGUUAAUGUUGCAAGAGAUAUUGCAAAGAAACUCAAGGGUUCACCAUUGGCAGCAAAUACAGUUGGUCGGUUGUUGAAGAAAAACAUCUCUUGGGAAUAUUGGAUGGGAAUUCUUGAAAAUAAUGAAUGGCAAAGUGCAAAAAAUGAUGAUGAUAUUUUGCCAUCUCUGCAAAUCAGCUAUAAUUACCUUCCUUUCCAUCUGCAGAAAUGUUUUUUUUAUUGUGCCCUCUUCCCAGAGGAUUACAAGUUUUAUGAUUUGGAAAAAAUAACUAAUUUCUGGAUGGCAAUGGGUAUUGUAGACUCAAAUUGCCAAAAUGACAAGAAUUACUUAGACGAACUAGUGGACAAUGGUUUUCUCAUUAAGGAUAGUGAUGCUGAUGGUGAAUACUAUGUGAUGCAUGAUUUAUUGCAUGAACUAUCUCGGAAUGUUUCAUCACAAGAGUGUCUAAAUAUAAGUAGUUUAAGUUUCAGAGUCAACGGCAUCCCACAAUCUAUUCGGCACUUAUCAAUCACCGUAGAAGACUAUUAUGAUGAAAGUUUUGGUCAAGAAAUAUGUAAACUGGAGAGUCUUAUAGACAUUGGAAAUUUGCGGACUUUGAUGGUUUUUGGAUCACAUCAUUCAGAAAUAUGUGAUUUUCUGGGACGUGCAUUUGAAGGAAUAAAGAGUCUCCGGGUUCUAUUUAUACCUAGCUUUCCAAAAGAUUUGCCAAAGAGCUUUUCACAUCUUAUCCACCUCCAAUACCUUAAACUCAUGCCACCUUCUGAUGAGGACCAUUGGAGAUAUCCACCUGGAAAAUUACCAAGAUUUUACCACUUGAAAUUCUUGGACAUCUAUGGUUGGCGGCACCCUUUUAUAAUUUCCCCUAAAAUCAUUAGCCGCCUUGUAAGUUUGCGCCAUAUCUAUACUUCCACAGAAUUCCGUUCUCUUAUCCCUGAGAUCGGAAAGAUGAAGUGGUUACAGGAGCUAAGACAAUUUCGUGUUAAGAGGGAAAGUGUUGGGUUUGAACUGAGCCAGCUGGGGGAAUUGACAGAGCUUGGGCAGCUUGUUAUAUGUAAUCUUGAAACCGUGGCAUCCAAAAAAGAAGCUGAUGAUGCUAAAUUGAAGGAUAAAAGAAAUCUGAAAGAAUUGGAAUUAGUUUGGGGUGCAGAUGGUGAUGUUACAGAUGGUGAUGUUCUUGAGGGUCUUCAACCACCCCCUAAUCUUAGAGGGCUUGGCAUUAGAAAUUAUGGUUUUGCCGCUGGUCCUAGCUGGUUGUGCAGUGACAUUAGCAUAAAAAGGCUGGAGUCUCUACAUCUGGAGGGUAUAUCGUGGGACACUCUUCCACCUUUUGAGCAGCUACCACACCUCACCAACCUCAAACUGGGGAAUAUUGCUGGGAUGCGUGUGUUUGGGCCUGGAUUUGUUGGUCUUACAGAGAGAAGUUUUAUGCACCUGAAGACAGUUCAGAUUAUGGAUAUGCCAGAACUUGAGGAAUGGGUUGGGGGACCCAAUAGCCCUUCGUUUUCAAGGCUUGAAAGCAUUAAUUGCUGGUGUUGCCCCCUUCUGUUCUCGUUUUCCUUCUUGGAGUGUUGUACCAACCUCUGUCAACUUUGUGUUGCUAAUUGCCCAAAUUUGUCACAGUUGCCCCCUCUGCCUCAUACUUCUACACUGACAGAGUUUUCUGUGAACAAAGAGAUAUUCAGUGGCUUGGCGUAUGAUGGAAAGCGGUUGUCUGCUGAGCACUAUGAGGGUGCGUUGGCCUUGCAUCAUAUGGAUAAAGUAGAGUCUAUAGAAAUUCGUUGCUCACCACAAGUUUCAUUGUCAGUGUCGGACCUCCAAAAGAUGAAGUCCCUGAGAGAACUAACUGCCAUAUGUUGCGCCAGCAUAUUCAAUCCAGUCGUCGUCGAGGAAUUGGCAGCCCAUGACAAGUCUUUGGACGAAGAAAAUAUCUCUGUAGCGACAGAUCUGAUCCCAGAGGUGGCAAUGAGCAAAUCUUUGCACCCAGAUUCAUUCAAACUGGAAGAAAUGACGGUGGAUAACAUCUCGGAAGUGCUUACUGCUCCCAUUUGCAGACGCCUUGCCGCUACCCUUCACACAUUAGCGUUCUGUAAUGAUGAGGUGACUGAAACCUUCACGGAAGAGCAAGAGCAAGCGCUUUAUCUUCUCACCUCCCUCCAAAGCCUAGAAUUUUCAAGGUGCAAACUGCAGUCUCUCGGCUAUAUGGCCUUUCUUCUCUCAAGGAAUUGA